UACGGAGGGGGGCUAGCGUUGUUCGGAAUUACUGGGCGUAAAGCGCGCGUAGGCGGCUUUGUAAGUUAGAGGUGAAAGCCCCGGAGCUUAACUCCGGAACUGCCUUUAAGACUGCAUCGCUAGAAUCGUGGAGAGGUGAGUGGAAUUCCGAGUGUAGAGGUGAAAUUCGUAGAUAUUCGGAAGAAACACCAGUGGCGAAGGCGACUCACUGGACA
rnacentral:rRNA from 1 species